UCCCGGUGCUGUGAAUAAAGGAAAUUUAAGUGUUGAUUGUACGGAUAGAUCGAUCGGCACCACGUUCAUUAAAAGCAAGAGGAGACUGAGUACUUUGAUGGAGAUUGGACAAAAUUUAUUUAAUAAACAUGGAAUUACCUGCUGGCUGCGUCACUCUUCCUCCGCGAAACGAACCUGUCACCAACAAAACAGCUGUCGACGCUAAAACUUCUAGCUGCGUCGCGAUUUUCAACUCGCAAAAACACAUUCAAUUCGCGAAAACUCUAACCAAAACAAAACACACGGUUUGUUUUUCCGACGCUCAGUUUUUUUCUCCGUCAACUAAAAUCACCUUCGCGGCGCAGUGAUGCUCCAAUCGAAACGGAAUUUUCCUCGGAAUUGCCCGUAAGCAGACUCGGGAAUCACCAAGGCAAACGCGGAUCACCAAAAACAAAAAGUUUUCUUCUUAUUUCCAGCGACUUCACGCACAAAAACACGAAAGCACUCGCGACUACCACCCACCGCAACUGUUCGCAACGAAACAAACAAUCAAAACAAAAGCGCAAUCUCAGCGCCUGCUGCGACGGCUGCGACCGACCGACCGCUCAAUGUUUUGACAGGGGAGGGAGCGUCCACAAAUGACGCAUGCGCUUUUAGUUUAUACAAAAAAUUAAGAUUUAUUUUUUUUUCCCGAUCUGUUUUAAAUUCAAUAUCGUUUAAUUUGUACAACUCUUAAACCUGAUAAAAAGGUUAGUUAAACUUAUCGUAACCAAAUAAAAUUAUAAUUACAACUAAAUCUCGCGCAUUCCAAUACACGUUUAAAGAAUAAGUUAAUAAGAUGAUGAUCCCAUUGUUUAAAUUGUGUGAAUCGGAAGUUAUCAAAACCGCAGAAUAAGUUCUCUAGUUUUGCUCGUUAUUUGCAUAAUAUGUUUGUUUAUCAUAAUUAUUUUUGCUAGAAUGUUAGGUACGUCAUUUGCGACAGAACCUACUGGUCGAUUUGAAGCUGAAUGAAUCGAUUAAAUCGAUCAGUGCAAUAUCGCAUGCAAGUAAAGUGCAUUGUAAGUUGCAUGCCACCAAGGUGGCGUUCUUUUAUUACGUGACGCGGGAACAGGAACAAAGUUUGGUCAUCAAACAAUAAUAACAACAAAAGACGGACAGUCGGCAACUGCAGUGCAAGUUUUCGGUCGUUGUUAUUCAUGCUCAAGUUGAAUGAAAUCGAAACGAUGGAAUAAUGCUGCAACGGGGACGGAAAGAGCGGAACUUUUUGUCCAGGAGCUGCGCUUGCUGCCGAGCCACUUGACGAUGGUGCGCCCUGCAGGAGAUGAUCGAGUACCGUGAGCAGCCAGCACCGCACCAAAUGUGAUGCUGAUAAAUGUCUGAUCAGGAUGCCGGAACAAGUAGUUAAACACGACCGGAAGAUUGUUAAAAACUGCCCUUUUUGAAGAUGGUGCUGCCGUACCUGGUCCCGGAAAGAGGAAAAUAGUUCUAGAAGGAGCGUGUACGGUUGGUGCCAGUUUUGGACUACACGAGCCUCCUUCACUAGAGAUUUAAAAAAAAUCGUGCAGCAGGUGAGUUUCAACAAUGUUUAAUAAAGAUUUUAUUUAAUUUUUAACUAUGAUUUGUUUUUACAGAUAUUUUACAGGUUAAACGCUGAACUUUAGAGCGUAACUGGACCGGCCAAGUCAUUCUGCUGAUUUGUAACGAACCUACGCUGGCAGUUCCGGAUUAAGUUUGGUAUUGAACGAAUCGUUCUGUAUCGGACUGUGCAACCAGGAGUUGGCGCAAGAGCUGGCGCUUAACGAACAUGGCCGAGGGACGGAUUAAGCGCGCCACAAAUCUGCUUUUCGUUCGGGAUCAGUCAAUUCCGCAUUCCGCGCCAACCUUACAAUUUUAGUCGUGCAAGCUCGGGCUGUCCACGGCACUCUCGAUCGUCGGCUUUAACCCAGUGACUAACGCACGAGACACCAGCACGGCCACUGAACACGUUGGAGACGUUUGGUUCGGAUGAUUCCAAGGUGGCGUUGAUGUGGGCCUAAGUCAACAGUGCCUGUUUCGGAAGUGGGACAGCGUUUCUCGCGUGACCCGCUUUACUUUCCAUAAGUCACCGCCGACAAUAGCAACUGCGAGGGCUCGUUGGAAAAUACUACCCGUACCGGAAGUUA